rnacentral:rRNA from 1 species
GACGAACGCUGGCGGCGUGCCUAAAACAUGCAAGUCGAACGAUCCAGUUUACUGGAUAGUGGCGAACGGCGGAGUAAGACAUAAGCAACGUGCCCUAAAGACCGGGAUAGUCAGUGGAAACGCUGGGGUAAUACCGGAUGUGGCCACUCUUUGGCAUCAUUGAGUGAUCAAAUGGUUUUUCGCUUUAGGAGCGGCUUAUGGCCUAUCAGGUAGUUGGUGGGGUAAUGGCCUACCAAGCCGACGACGGGUAGCGGGGUCUGAGAGGAUGAUCCGCCCGAGUGGGACUGAGACACGGCCCACACACCUACGGGUGGCAGCAGUUGGGAAUCUUGCACAAUGGGGGAAACCCUGAUGCAGCGACGCCGCGUGGAGGAUGAAGGAUUUAGGUCUGUAAACUCCUUUUAUCGGGAAAGACUUAGGACGGUACCCGAUGAAUAAGGACCGGCUAACUACGCGCCAG